AUGGGAAGAUGUGCCUACUUCCCCUUUGCCUUCCACCGUGACUGUACAUUUCCUGAGGACUCCCUAGCCAUGCUUUCUGUACAGCCUGCUGAACUCUCUGCCCAAAUUUCAUAUGUCACAGAAUGAGUGAUCCUCGUAGUAUAAUGGAAACGUAUCAUCUCAGUUUCCCCAUGGCCUGAAUGUCCUUACAAAAUGAGAGCCAGUAGGGAAAAACAGAGGACGUGAGGACUUUUUAAAAAAUGAGGAAAAGUGGAAGGAAAAGUAAGAAUGAAGGUGAAGAUGAAGGAAUAUGUCAGAGAUACUAGCACUGGCAUCCCCAACCACACAGUACCAUGUCCUGCUAAAGAACUCUAUAGAACACACAUAGUGUAGAUGGCAGUCUUCUUGGGGAAUCCAUCUGAGAAAAAGAGGCUUCAGGAUUGCAAGAUUUCAGCUACUGUCUCUCCUCGGAGCAGGAUUCCAUCUUUCCCAUGGCUGGGGCCCUUGACACAUGUCACUGUGCACUGCUCUUCUCGCUGGGAAAAGGAAACUGAGGCCCAGAGAGGGCAAGUGAAUUUCCCAAGAUUGCCCGGAUGAUAUGGAGCUGAGCUGGAAAGUGAGCCUGGAUCUCUCUGGUUCUGAAAGCUUUGCUCGAAAGCACAGGAUGACACCUCCAUUCAAUCAAUAAGCACUGAGACCUUUCCAUGGACUCAGCAGGUCCUGCUGUCCCUGAAGCUUGACACUCUCAUUUCAAACCACAGCGAGAACCCAAAAAGGAAACAGUGCAAGGAAAAUAAUGUGAUAUUUGAGAGGCAGCAUGGGUUAUUGGGGACAGGGUUCAUGUCCCUUCUCUCCCACACACAUGGCAUGAUGCUAAGCAGGUCACCUCACCUCUCCAGGGUUGUUUCCUCAACUGAGAAAAUGAGGGGGUUGAGAUGAACGCCAGCCCUGGGGUGCUCAAUGCUGCAGUCUAGGGUGGUGUGGACUGGAAUCAGAAUUCUUUCUCCUCCGCUCUGGGUGCUGACACAUGAUCUCUGGCUCUCACUCCCCACCCCUAAUCUUGCCUAUCUGAGUUUCAGGUUAUUUUUUCCUUCCUCUUACUCUUCAAUUUCCUUAUUGAGGAAGCUCUUUCCUGCUGCCUCUGUCCCCGCUGGAGCUGUUUGAUCCAGCAGAGCCAGUCGAAGCCAAGGGGACCCUGACUUGAAUCUUGCUUUCUGACAUGCUGGCUGUGGCUUGCUUGGGACCUGAAUAAGAGCUUGCUUACUCCCGGUGUUCACCACAGCGGAACCAUGGGUGCAUAAAUGUAAUUCUCAACCAGCCCAGUUUAAUCAGCGAAAGACAAUAGAGCUUGCAGGCGGUGUCAUGCUGAGUAUCUGAACACACCAUGGCUGCUGUCGCCCUUUUCAUUAAAAUGAUUGAAAAUGUAUUUCUAAACAGAA
rnacentral:lncRNA from 1 species